UACGGGGGGGGUAAGCGUUGUUCGGAAUUACUGGGCGUAAAGGGCUCGUAGGCGGCCAACUAAGUCAGACGUGAAAUCCCUCAGCUUAACUGGGGAACUGCGUCUGAUACUGGAUGGCUUGGAUUCGGGAGAGGAAUGCGGAAUUCCAGGUGUAGCGGUGAAAUGCGUAGAUAUCGGGAGGAACACCUGGGGCGAAGGCGGGCUACUGGGCCGAUACUGACGCUGAGGCGCGAAAGCCAGGGGAGCAAACGGG
rnacentral:rRNA from 1 species